rnacentral:tRNA from 1 species
UCCCUGGUGGCUCCAACAGCAGAGAGUCUGCCUGCAAUGCAGGAGACUCAGGUUCAAUUCCUGGAUUGGGAA